UUUGAAAUUGCAUAUUCAAAUUGAUUUACCAAUAUCUUGGGUAAUACUAAACAAAAAUGCAUGUGUUAUACAUAAAAAUUUAAGUUAGGCCUUCCUGGAUAGGAUAACAUUUAUUUGAGGAACGUAACACUUAUAGUUUUUUCGCUGUACUAAAUCAAACGCGUGAACUUUUUUUUGCGCCACCCGGUAUAUGUAAAAUUCAAGUUAAAAUUUUGACAUUUUCAGGUAAAAUUUGCGUAAUAACGUAAUUAUUUUUGUGAAAUGAUAACCAUUUUUGCAAAAUACAGUCAAUUUGCAUGAAAUUUGUUUGCCAAUUUGCUUUAAAACACGCCAGAAAUUCAGUCGUAGAAUGUAAACAUUUUCUGGGGGAGGCCCCCAGACCCCUCUUUUCUCCCGAAACUUAAUAUGAGAG